GGAGAACAACAGCAAGUUUCUGGCACAGCACUAUUUGGACAAUGUAUCAGUCACCUUUUUGUUGCUAUGACUAAAACACCUUACAUAAAUAACUUUGGUUUAUGGUUUCAGAGGUUUCAGUCCAUGGUCAGUUGGUUCCAUUGCCUUGGGCUUGAGGUGAGGCAGAACAUCAUAGCAGAAGGUUGUAGCAGAAGAAGGCAGCUGCUCGGCUCAUGGCAUAAAGAAAGCACAGGGGCUGGGGGAGGCUGGGCACCAGAAAUAAGUUUCAGGACAUACCCCCAGUGACAUACUUCUCCAUUAGUCCCACCUCAUAGUAGUCCAUUCUGCUAUCAGUGGACUAAUCCACUGAUGAGGUCAGAGUCCUCAUGAUCCAAUAGCUUCCCAAAAGCCCCACCUCUGAACAUUGCUGCCGUGGGAAACAAGUCUUCUACAUCUGAGACUCUGGGGGGGCAUUCCAGAUCCAAACUAUACCAGAGAAAAUGUGUGGAACAAAAAUUUUUAAAAAUUGGGCUUAGAUAGGAGAAAUUUUAAAAAUUAUAAAUUGACAAUCCCAUACCAGCACCAUCAAGAAUAAAAGGUACCAUGUCAGAUUGAUAUAUCUGUCAGAUCUCUACUGUGAAGAUAAACAGAGCAAACUAUCAAAGCCUAAAUUUUUAAAAAUAUAUUUUUAGUUGUAGAUGGACACAAAUACCUUUAUUUUAUUUAUUUUUAUGUGGUGCUGAGGAUAGAACCCAGUGCCUCACACAUGCAAGGCAGGCACUCUAUCACUGAGCCACAAUCCUAGCCCCAAAACCUAAACUUUUUAAUUAUAAGUCCCUUUGUUCUGAUUCCAUGUUCACUAAGAAAUCUUUUCUAUCCAACGGAAGAAUAUAU
rnacentral:lncRNA from 1 species